GUUCCUCCUCCGGGUAAAGGAGUUUUGUAUACAAGGCCUCGGCUAAUAGGGAGUGGCGCUAUCCUUGGAGCAGCUCCAGCACCUGAGUACACGUUCCUCAUUUACGCAUCUCCCGUAGGAGAUUACCAUAAGGUAAGCACAGGCCUGAACCUUAAAGUUGAUCAUAAGUAUCGCCGAGCCAAUUCACUUGUUUUCAGAAGCGUGGAUGCUUAUUACUUUUGUUUCCAUGAGAUGCAGGUCACUUUAACACUUUUGUUGGAGAUCGGUCUGCUUAUGUGUUCAGUUAGAUUCUGAUUUUGCUUGUGUAUUGGAUUAGGUGAUCUGGUGAAGAUGCUUUUGAGACUGCAAAGAGUUGACGUUUCUUCUUCUCCUUAAUCUCAUUAGCUUUUGGUUUUAGUUCUUAUUCCUUCUCUCUGUUCUUGAGAGUUUAUUAAUUUUCUGAAUUUUUUUUUUUGCAGAAAAGAAGAAUGGUUGCAAUAUUUUGACCACGUUUAAGCAAAACGAGAGACUUGAAUCAGUUUCAGUUACAUCUCAUCAUUACAGUUCAUCAAAAGCAGGUUUUGGUUACAAUAAACUUUUCUCUAGAACAAUUGGAACGUGUUUUGGAUACAAGAUCAAAUCUGGUGGAGUUUUAUAUUGGACAAAAACAGAAGAGGGCAACAACUGCUGCAAAAACCGGUUGCAAGAUGAUCAAAUCUUUUUGAGUUACUGUGUGUGUUUGUUGCUUGAAACUACAACUUAUGGCAUUGAUUCUCUCCCAGGCUAGGCAAGCUCUUCUCACUCAAAGAAUUGCUUCAGCACUUCAAGCAGCCAUGAUGUUAAGACCACGUUUGGUAAGACAUUUGGUAUGAUGUUUAAGACUUGAUGUUUUGUAAGACUUGUUUUUAAUACGAUAUUUGUCCUUGUGAUGUUUUGUGUAAGACAUGUUUGGAUGUUUAAUAAAAAUAA